UGACUUAACGUACCGGAAUAAAGAAAGGCGGAUCGCAUGAUAAGCUUUUAAAAGGCGGCGUAAGCUGUCGCUAUGGGAUGGCCCCGCGGUGCAUUAGCUAGUUGGUAAGGUAAAGGCUUACCAAGGCGAUGAUGCAUAGCCGAGUUGAGAGACUGAUCGGCCACAUUGGGACUGAGACACGGCCCAAACUCCUACGGGAGGCAGCAGCG
rnacentral:rRNA from 1 species